rnacentral:rRNA from 1 species
CAGUCGCCGCGGUAAUACGAAGGGUGCAAGCGUUACUCGGAAUUACUGGGCGUAAAGCGUGCGUAGGUGGUGGUUUAAGUCCGUUGUGAAAGCCCUGGGCUCAACCUGGGAAUGGCAGUGGAUACUGGCUCGCUAGAGUGUGUCAGAGGAUGGUGGAAUUCCCGGUGUAGCGGUGAAAUGCGUAGAGAUCGGGAGGAACAUCAGUGGCGAAGGCGGCCAUCUGGGACAACACUGACGCUGAGGCACGAAAGCGUGGGGAGCAAACAGGAUUAGAUACCCCCGUAGUCCCUGUCUCUUAUAC